AUGAAGCGGCGUUGUGUUAAUCUGGUGACGCGGAAUUGGGAGAAUGGGAUUUACGCACUGCGCCGCCUCAAUCCCGACGUGCAUCUCUUCUACCAGUCAAAAAAUGACGCAAAAGAAGUAACAGAGAUCAACGCGAUGGAUUCUGCAGCAUCAGCAGCAGAUGAUAGCAAGAAAACGAAGAGAUCUUCCUGUCCAAGGAUGCGUAGCCUGCGGCGGCUGCCUAGACCAAUCGCCAGAUUCGAUCCGUCGCCGGCCGGCCUAUGGAUCAAUGACGGCCUGGAGUGGUUCGAGCUGCUGGGCCCCCGCCGCAGCGAAAGCAGGGUCGUCAACGCCAACGUGGCCGGCGACACUGUGCUAUACGACGCCGACGAGGGCAUCAUCUUCAACCUGCCUUCGCUCCACGAGCCCAAGGGAAGCAACCCCGUCUGCCUCUCAAUCACCCACCCCGACGCCGAGGAAGACGCUCUCUACGUCAUGGACCGCUAUCCCGGCCGGGCGAGCACGGGCGGCCCCGGCAUGCCCUCCUGCUUCGAGGUGCUCGAGUACAGGCCCAGCUCCAGAUAUCUGGACGACAGCAUGAAGGGGUGGGGUUGGCGGGCUCUCCCGCCGCCGCCCUUCAUCCACGAGCACGGGUACGAGCCCACCAGGAUCACAUCAUACGCCGCCGUCGGGGACGGGACUACCUUGUGCAUCUCGUCGGACAGGAACGGCAUCGGCACCUACUGCUUUGACACGGUGGAGGCGGAUCCUCUAACUUAG
rnacentral:rRNA from 1 species